GUAAUCCAAUUUCAGAACUCCACCUUUCCCCAACCUUUGGUUGUUGGUUUUUUUUUCCUUUUAGCCCUCGCGAUUUAUCCUACUGAAUUCAAACUCUUUUACUCCAUUUCUACACAGACGAGGGCCAGUGAGUAUCAUCAACCAGACAGAUGCUUCUCAAGGUGAAUAUGAAACGCCUGGAACGAGGAAUGGAAAAGGAAGAAAAUAACAGUUUUGACAACAAAGUCAAUUCUUGGCAAUUUCCCCAUGAGGCAUAUUGUUCCAGGGAAUUUGUUGUUAAGGCAUUAAAGAAACUUCCCAGAUUAAAUUUAUUUUCAAAUAUCA